ACUGCUUUCUCAUACCACAAGCAGGGAGCUGGAAGGGAAGUAGAGUAGCCAUAUGGAAUUGGAGUAACCAUGUUGCAUUUAUAUGAGAUCCCGGCGCAUGCAAGGGGAGCACUUUAGCCGCUAGGCUACCAUACCAGUUCUGAUAAUUCUUAUUUUUAAAUAAAUAACUUUUAUUUACUUGAUAGAAUACUAGAGGUCUCCCAUCUGCUGGUUUACGCCAGAACGGGCCAGGAUUGAAAUGCCUGGCCCAAGUUUGGAGCAUGGAGUUCCAUUCAGGUCUGCCGUGUGAGCGGUACAUCUCCUGUUUUCCCAGGUGCAUUAGGAGGAAGUUGAAUCUGAAGUGGAAAUGCCAGAAAUCAAACCACCACUCCUAUAUGGGAUGCCAGUAUUGCAAGCAGUGGUUUAAUAUACUGCACCACAACGCCAGCCCCAGUGAUACCACAUACUGAUGGUAACCUUGCAAGAGUCCAAGUUUUUCACUGAAUCAUCCAAAGAAGAUUGUUCAGUUCUGAAUUUGAAAGCUUAGUGUAAACAUGCAGCUUAUGCUGUGUAUCUUAGACUGUGGUUCCCAACUGACGAAAUGACUGGGAUCUCUAAUACAAUGUGAUUAGAACUGGAAGAGAGGGCAUUCUUGCUUCCUUGCAAGAUUAAGUAUUGAGAUGAAAAAUCAAAGUCUGGCUGGAAAGUCAAAGUUGAAAUUUGUUGAGCUAAUUAAAUCAGAGUUUGAACUACGGAAGCAGCCUUCAGUUGCCUAAGCUGGCUCUUCUGCGAGCCUGGGCUUGCUUAAGGCUCUUGCUCUUCGGCUAACAGGAGUGCAUGCAUUGAAUUAGGUUCAGACAAUGCAGAUUUGAGCGGGAUUAUCAACCUCAUUGUAAGUCAAGGAAUGCUUCACUAGAAACUAAAGUGCUAUAGACAAUUACUAACAGGUUUGCCUCACUAAUUGCAAGAGAGGGUACAUUAGAUGCUCAUAUCUGUUUGUUGGCCAUAUGCGGGGAGAAGCAAACAAUGUGAUUUUUCAUUACUGUGUCUGCUAUGCCCUGAGACAUAGCACGCAUACCCUCGCAGGGCCAUAGAUUUUUCUCCCCCAUGACUUAGGCUCCUGGAUGUUGAAGACAUGUGUUGCAUGGAAACUGACCUCUGGGCAUCUUCAGGGGACAGAGAGCACCCCGUCUCUGGCCUCUGCAGGCUUUAUGACCACAGUACCACAGGAUGCUGGUGGCUGUAAGUUUCUUGCAGUUGCCUGUGGUCUUCCAGUCUUAUUACUUUCAGUACUGAAGUGGAAACCAGUCUGCAUGUAGGUAAAAAGCAAGCUCUCACGCAGGACACAGAUCACAUGGCAAGACCCCAGGCUUCACAGGGGCAGAGUCGGGUAAAGAGAAGAAAGGAGAUAAGGAGAAGCUGACUGGGACAACUCAGGAAGUCCCCAGGACUGUGAUGGCAUAGAAGCCCCCCACUGUGCAUUUGCUCUGCACCCCACUUGCUUGCCCCACCCCCCAAGUGCUGAGAGCAGCUCAGCCACUGCUCUGUAUAAACUCCAGAGAAGAUUUGAUCGAGGCCCAGGCAUUACGAGUGAUCCAAACUGGUGCCCUUUGGAGUGACCUCCUGUCCCUGGAGGUCAGUUUCCAAAACAAUACCAUCUACAUGUUCACCACUCUGAUGUGUGUGCAUCCAGCCCAGACCUCUCCAGACACAUCUGUGCUUGUGUCUUCCACCAGCUUCCUUGGUAUCAGCCAUGGGUGUUUGCAAGGUGUUCAGUCUUAACAUGUCCAAAGCUUAGGAUUCUUCCUGUACUUGAAUUUUGCAUUUCCCACUGUUUCCUUUUUCAGUAAAGGCGAACUCCAUCCUUCUAGAUCUUUAGGCUAAAACCUUGGUGUCAACUCUUCCUUUUUUUUCUACCUUCCUAUACAGUAUGUCAGUAAGUACUGUUCACUGCUUUCACAAAAAUUGUGACCCUUAAGAUCAAAACGGCCUUUAUCUCUUACUUGGCUACUUGCCUCCUGACCUAUUGCUCUAUUUCACUUUCUCUGCUAUUAUCAGCAUAGUGCCCAGUAAUGCUUUUAAAACUGAAGUGUUGAG